GUCUUGCCUGCCCAGUGACAAGUUAAACGGCCGCGGUAUUUUGACCGUGCGAAGGUAGCGCAAUCACUUGUCUUUUAAAUGAAGACCUGUAUGAAUGGUGGAACGAGGGCUUAACUGUCUCCCUUUUCAGGUCAAUGAAAUUGAUCUGCCCGUGCAGAAGCGGACAUACAAAUACAAGACGAGAAGACCCUUUGGAGCUUAAGACACAAGAUCAACUACGUCAAGAACCCAACAUCAAGUUAAACUAAGUAGGAACUGAUCCACAUCUUCAGUUGGGGCGACCGCGGGAGAAAACAAAGCUCCCACGCGGACCGGGGUUUCAACCCUAAAACCAAGAGAAACAUCUCUAAGUCACAGAAUAUCUGACCAUAAAGAUCCGGCCACUUGCCGAUCAACGGACCAAGUUACCCUAGGGAUAACAGCGCAAUCCUCUUCCAGAGUCCAUAUCGACAAGAGGGUUUACGACCUCGAUGUUGGAUCAGGACAUCCUAAUGGUGCAGCCGCUAUUAAGGGUUCGUUUGUUCAAC
rnacentral:rRNA from 1 species